rnacentral:misc_RNA from 1 species
AACGCACAUUGCACCCUUUGGUAUUCCGAAGGGUAUGCCUGUUUGAGUGUCAUUAAUAUCUCAACAAAAUAACUCUGGUUAUUUGUUGAAAUUUGAAGGUUUGCCGGCAUUUGUUUGUCAGCUCCUUUGAAAUGUAUUAGCAGGUCAAAGUAAAAUUGGCUUCAGAUUGAUAAUCGUAAUUGCGCUUUAUCUAUGCUGUUAGCUGUUGCUACUACCUGCUUCUAAUUGUCUCUUUGAUGGGACUGUCCAGUUGGACAAUGUUUUAAUUCUUGACCUCAAAUCAGGUAGGAUUACCCGCUGAACUUAA